UUAACACAUGCAAGUCGAACGGAAAGGCCCUGCUUGCAGGGUACUCGAGUGGCGAACGGGUGAGUAACACGUGGGUGAUCUGCCCUGCACUUCGGGAUAAGCCUGGGAAACUGGGUCUAAUACCGGAUAGGAGCCAUUUUUAGUGUGAUGGUUGGAAAGUUUUUUCGGUGUAGGAUGAGCUCGCGGCCUAUCAGCUUGUUGGUGGGGUAAUGGCCUACCAAGGCGGCGACGGGUAGCCGGCCUGAGAGGGUGGACGGCCACAUUGGGACUGAGAUACGGCCCAGACUCCUACGGGAGGCAGCAGUGGGGAAUAUUGCACAAUGGGCGCAAGCCUGAUGCAGCGACGCCGCGUGGGGGAUGACGGCCUUCGGGUUGUAAACUCCUUUCGCUAGGGACGAAGCUUUUUGUGACGGUACCUAGAUAAGAAGCACCGGCUAACUGCGUGCCAGCAGCCGCGGUAAUACGUAGGGUGCGAGCGUUGUCCGGAAUUACUGGGCGUAAAGGGCUCGUAGGUGGUUUGUCGCGUCGUCUGUGAAAUUCCGGGGCUUAACUCCGGGCGUGCAGGCGAUACGGGCAUAACUUGAGUACUGUAGGGGUAACUGGAAUUCCUGGUGUAGCGGUGAAAUGCGCAGAUAUCAGGAGGAACACCGAUGGCGAAGGCAGGUUACUGGGCAGUUACUGACGCUGAGGAGCGAAAGCAUGGGUAGCGAACAGGAUUA
rnacentral:rRNA from 1 species